rnacentral:rRNA from 1 species
ACCUAGUCCCACCACACCCCCAAGGGUAUUCAGCAGUGAUAGAUAUUGUCUAUAAGCGCUAGCUUGACCCAGUUAUAGAGAAGAGAGCCGGCCAACUUGGUGCCAGCCGCCGCGGCUAGACCAACUGGACUCAAAUUGAUAAUCCCCGGCGUUAAGCGUGAUUAAAGCCAUGAACAAAUUAGAGUUAAACCUACGUUGAGCAGUGAAAAGCACACGAUAGGGAAAUCCAAAAACGAAAGUUAUUCUAAUCCUUGCUUGAAUACACGACAGCUAGGACACAAACUGGGAUUAGAUACCCCACUAUGCCUAGCCGUAAACUAUUAACCUACACCCACCCGCGCCAGGGAACUACGAGCUUUAGCUUAAAACCCAAAGGACUUGACGGUGUCCCACCCAACUAGAGGAGCCUGUUCUAUAAUCGAUGAUCCCCGCUCCACCCAACCCCCCCUUGCUUUAUCAGCCUGUAUACCUCCGUCGUAAACCCGCCGUAUGAAUGUACCCAAGCGGAUUUAAUGGUCCCACACCAACACGUCAGGUCAAGGUGCAGCCAAUGGGAGAGGUAAGUGAUGGGCUACAAUUUCUAGUCUAGAACAAACGAAAUUCUGCAUGAAACACAGUUAUGAAGGAGGAUUUAGUAGUAAAAAGAAAGUAGCGUGUUCUUUUUAACAUGGCCCUGGGACGUGUACACA